GAUGCUCAGGGCUCGGGUGGGAAGCUCAGGUGGAUGAACGAGGCCUUUGGGAAGGCAGAUCUUCUCAGAGGAGACUCUGGCCAGAGCUGUCUUCUAUUUUCCCCUCCUAAGAGCCUUCAUGGAAGGGGAAGAGGGACCCAGCAAACAGGAGCAGCAGGAAAACAGAGGGGCCGUUACCAGCCCACCGCAGCUAACAGCCAAGGCACUCUAGAUUUCUGGAUAUUAUGAGUCCAUGGCUUAGCUGCAACAGAUUUAAGACACCCAGCCCCAAAAUGGGCCAGCACAGCAGGGACCUGGAUCGAGAUGUCUUUUGGAACAGGAUUUCAGACCCAUCAAGAGAACUCUGAGCUGACCGAGUGCCCAGGAUGCUGUGUGGCACUGCAUCCAUCCAUCCAUCCAUCCAUCCAUCCAUCCAUCCAUCCAUCCUUUCACGGUGCUCUCAUCAGGGCUGUGGAAGUCUGUGAGGUAGGAGGCGUCGUGGCGUCGUCGGGGGUCAGCAUCGUCGCAGCGCUGGCACUGUAGCCCAGCCCCUGGUGCCCCCACGUGUGGACAGAAGUCCUCCGGGGGCCGUCCGCACGUGUGGGAGGCCUCGGCGCGUCGGCCGAACGCCGCGUUCUCGAACUCAGGCAGACAGCGCUGUGCGCGUCCCACACCGUCGUAGCAAGAGCCCAUGCCCGCGCCUGCCGCGAAGUGUGUCUCCUGAAUCACCAGCGCCAUCGAUGCCACCGUUGCCAGGAGGGACAGGACCCUGGAUACAGCCAUGGUCCUCGCCCCGCUCUGCACUGCUCCGGGAUCCACUCUACGCUGCGGUCUGCGCUUAGCCCCUCUGCGCUCCACUGGCCCCUGGAGUCCUCCCCUGCAGGCGGAACCCGACGGCAUCUGAGGGCGGGACCCAUGGAGGCGACACCCCACCAUCCGAGCUCCGUCCCUUCGUGCUCACCCCCACCUGCUGGACGUGCCUGGGAGUGCCUGCUUGUUCUGGCUGGGCCGUGGACUCGGGAACUGUGAUCCUGGCUCCACAGUCCUCCCUGCAAAAUGGUCUCGGUAGAGACACCAAGUUAUUCUGCUAAUGCGGCUCUUCUAUGGAAGCUCUGCACCUGUGUACCUUCCUGAGCUGAAAGGCAAGACAAGCGCAGGUCUUCACCUGACAGAAUGACCUUUGGCAGUUUUCC
ensembl:antisense Gm13441 predicted gene 13441